rnacentral:rRNA from 1 species
GACGAACGCUGGCGGCGUGCUUAACACAUGCAAGUCGAACGGAAAGGCCCUUUCGGGGGUACUCGAGUGGCGAACGGGUGAGUAACACGUGGGUGAUCUGCCCUGCACUUCGGGAUAAGCCUGGGAAACUGGGUCUAAUACCGGAUAUGACUACGGGUCGCAUGGUCUGUGGUGGAAAGCUUUUGCGGUGUGGAUGGCCCGCGGCCUAUCAGCUUGUUGGUGGGGUGGAUGGCCUACCAAGGCGACGACGGGUAGCCGGCCUGAGAGGGUGACCGGCCACACUGGGACUGAGAUACGGCCCAGACUCCUACGGGAGGCAGCAGUGGGGAAGUAUUGCACAAUGGCGCAAGCCUGAUGCAGCGACG